rfam:Candidate division NC10 bacterium CSP1-5 XT15_C0002, whole genome shotgun sequence.
CCCGGUGACCAUGGCGGAGGGGUCACACCCGUUCCCAUUCCGAACACGGAAGUUAAGCCCUCCAGCGCCGAUGGUACUGCCCUGGUAACGGGGUGGGAGAGUAGGUCGUUGCCGGGA